GAUAGUUAGAUUUCCCCUCAACAGCCUGGAGUUCACUAAGCUGGUCGCCAGGAGACUGCUGCUUAAAGGUAACAGUUAGAUUUCCCCUCAACAGCCUGGAGUUCACUAAGCUGGUUGCCAGGAGACUGCUGCUUAAAGGUAACAGUUAGAUUUCCCCUCAACAGCCUGGAGUUAAUUAAGCUGGUCGCCAGGAGACUGCUGCUUAAAGGUAACAGUUAGAUUUCCCCUCAACAGCCUGGAGUUCACUAAGCUGGUCGCCAGGAGACUGCUGCUUAAAGGUAACAGUUAGAUUUCCCCUCAACAGCCUGGAGUUCACUAAGCUGGUCGCCAGGAGACUGCUGCUUAAAGGUAACAGUUAGAUUUCCCCUCAACAGCCUGGAGUUCAUUAAGCUGGUCGCCAGGAGACUGCUGCUUAAAGGUAACAGUUAGAUUUCCCCUCAACAGCCUGGAGUUCAUUAAGCUGGUCGCCAGGAGACUGCUGCUUAAAGGUAACAGUUAGAUAUCCCCUCAACAGCCUGGAGUUCACUAAGCUGGUUGCCAGGAGACUGCUGCUUAAAGGUAACAGUUAGAUUUCCCCUCAACAGCCUGGAGUUCACUAAGCUGGUUGCCAGGAGACUGCUGCUUAAAGGUAACAGUUAGAUUUCCCCUCAACAGCCUGGAGUUCACUAAGCUGGUUGCCAGGAGACUGCUGCUUAAAGGUAACAGUUAGAUUUCCCCUCAACAGCCUGGAGUUCACUAAGCUGGUUGCCAGGAGACUGCUGCUUAAAGGUAACAGUUAGAUUUCCCCUCAACAGCCUGGAGUUCACUAAGAUGGUUGCCAGGAGACUGCUGCUUAAAGGUAACAGUUAGAUUUCCCCUCAACAGCCUGGAGUUCACUAAGCUGGUUGCCAGGAGACUGCUGCUUAAAGGUAACAGCUAGAUUUCCCC